rnacentral:lncRNA from 1 species
GUCGGGCCGGGCCCGGCCGCUUCCGCGAGCGCCCUGCAGACUGAGGGAGAGAGAGAGAAAGAGGAGGGGAGGAGGAGGAGGAUUCAGGGAAUAGGAGCUGGGGAGCCCUUCUGCGCCACAGUGAUAUCAGUAUCAAGAUAAAAGUUUGGAAUGGGAGAAAAAUUCUCAAAGCCUGAAAGAAAAUCUGAGAUGCUUGGAGUGUAAAGAUCCCAUGGUCACAUAAAUCCGGAAAGCACUGAAUACUUUGUUUCCCAUAAGAGAAUCCCAUUAUAUGUUGAUGUAUUAAAAGACCUGAGAACCUGGUGUAGUUACUUUUGGUGACGCUGUCCAGUUCCCACAAUGUAUCAUUCCUUAUCUGAAACUAGACAUCCUCUGCAGCCAGAAGAACAAGAAGUAGGCAUUGACCCCUUGUCCAGUUACUCUAACAAGUCUGGAGGAAAGAAUGGGAAGAACUAUUUGUAAACAACAAUUACUUGGCAACAAUAAGGCAGAAGGGGAUUAAUGGGCAGCUGAGAAGCAGCAGGUUCCGCAGCAUUUGCUGGAAG